AACGAACGCUGGCGGCAUGCCUAACACAUGCAAGUCGAACGAGACCUUCGGGUCUAGUGGCGCACGGGUGCGUAACGCGUGGGAACCUGCCCUUAGGUUCGGAAUAACUCCCCGAAAGGGGUGCUAAUACCGGAUAAUGUCUUCGGACCAAAGAUUUAUCGCCUUUGGAUGGGCCCGCGUUGGAUUAGCUAGUUGGUAGGGUAAAAGCCUACCAAGGCGACGAUCCAUAGCUGGUCUGAGAGGAUGAUCAGCCACACUGGGACUGAGACACGGCCCAGACUCCUACGGGAGGCAGCAGUGGGGAAUAUUGGAAAAUGGGCGAAAGCCUGAUCCAGCACUGCCGCGUGAGUGAUGAAGGCCUUAGGGUUGUAAAGCUCUUUUACCCGGGAUGAUAAUGACAGUACCGGGAGAAUAAGCGCCGGCUAACUCCGUG
rnacentral:rRNA from 1 species